AGCUCCAAUAGCGUAUAUUAAAGUUGUUGCAGUUAAAAAGCUCGUAGUUGGAUUUCUGUUGAAAACGACCGGUCUGCUUUCAAAGUGUGUACCUGGUUUGGAUUCAACAUCCUCCUGGAGAACAUCUCUGCACUUUACUGUGUGGGGUGGUACCCAGGGCUUUUACUUUGAGAAAAUUAGAGUGUUUCAAGCAAGCUUUUGCCUUGAAUACUGCAGCAUGGAAUAAUAAGAUAGGAUUUUGGUUCUAUUUUGUUGGUUUCUAGAACUGAAGUAAUGAUUAAUAGGGACAGUUGGGGGCAUUCGUAUUUAAUUGUCAGAGGUGAAAUUCUUAGAUUUUUUAAAGACGAACUACUGCGAAAGCAUUUGCCAAGGAUGUUUUCA
rnacentral:rRNA from 1 species